rnacentral:rRNA from 1 species
AGAGUUUGAUCAUGGCUCAGAUUGAACGCUGGCGGCAGGCCUAACACAUGCAAGUCGAACGGUAACAGGAAGCAGCUUGCUGCUUCGCUGACGAGUGGCGGACGGGUGAGUAAUGUCUGGGAAACUGCCUGAUGGAGGGGGAUAACUACUGGAAACGGUGGCUAAUACCGCAUAACGUCGCAAGACCAAAGAGGGGGACCUUCGGGCCUCUUGCCAUCAGAUGUGCCCAGAUGGGAUUAGCUAGUUGGUGAGGUAAUGGCUCACCAAGGCGACGAUCCCUAGCUGGUCUGAGAGGAUGACCAGCCACACUGGAACUGAGACACGGUCCAGACUCCUACGGGAGGCAGCAGUGGGGAAUAUUGCACAAUGGGCGCAAGCCUGAUGCAGCCAUGCCGCGUGUAUGAAGAAGGCCUUCGGGUUGUAAAGUACUUUCAGCGGGGAGGAAGGUGUUGUGGUUAAUAACCGCAGCAAUUGACGUUACCCGCAGAAGAAGCACCGGCUAACUCCGUGCCAGCAGCCGCGGUAAUACGGAGGGUGCAAGCGUUAAUCGGAAUUACUGGGCGUAAAGCGCACGCAGGCGGUCUGUCAAGUCGGAUGUGAAAUCCCCGGGCUCAACCUGGGAACUGCAUUCGAAACUGGCAGGCUUGAGUCUUGUAGAGGGGGGUAGAAUUCCAGGUGUAGCGGUGAAAUGCGUAGAGAUCUGGAGGAAUACCGGUGGCGAAGGCGGCCCCCUGGACAAAGACUGACGCUCAGGUGCGAAAGCGUGGGGAGCAAACAGGAUUAGAUACCCUGGUAGUCCACGCCGUAAACGAUGUCUACUUGGAGGUUGUGCCCUUGAGGCGUGGCUUCCGGAGCUAACGCGUUAAGUAGACCGCCUGGGGAGUACGGCCGCAAGGUUAAAACUCAAAUGAAUUGACGGGGGCCCGCACAAGCGGUGGAGCAUGUGGUUUAAUUCGAUGCAACGCGAAGAACCUUACCUGGUCUUGACAUCCACAGAACUUUCCAGAGAUGGAUUGGUGCCUUCGGGAACUGUGAGACAGGUGCUGCAUGGCUGUCGUCAGCUCGUGUUGUGAAAUGUUGGGUUAAGUCCCGCAACGAGCGCAACCCUUAUCCUUUGUUGCCAGCGGUCCGGCCGGGAACUCAAAGGAGACUGCCAGUGAUAAACUGGAGGAAGGUGGGGAUGACGUCAAGUCAUCAUGGCCCUUACGACCAGGGCUACACACGUGCUACAAUGGCGCAUACAAAGAGAAGCGACCUCGCGAGAGCAAGCGGACCUCAUAAAGUGCGUCGUAGUCCGGAUUGGAGUCUGCAACUCGACUCCAUGAAGUCGGAAUCGCUAGUAAUCGUGGAUCAGAAUGCCACGGUGAAUACGUUCCCGGGGCCUUGUACACACCGCCCGUCACACCAUGGGAGUGGGUUGCAAAAGAAGUAGGUAGCUUAACCUUCGGGAGGGCGCUUACCACUUUGUGAUUCAUGACUGGGGUGAAGUCGUAACAAGGUAACCGUAGGGGAACCUGCGGUUGGAUCACCU